rnacentral:rRNA from 1 species
AUGCUGCUGCCCGUUGACAGCUUUCUUGUUCUUGGCCGGCUUCUUGGGUGCGGAACCGGCGCCGCCGUUGUGGGUGGCAGCGAGUUGAGCAGAGCAACCGGCGUCGGCGGCACUAGUAGGCGCGCCGAGUGCGAAUGUCACCUUCUUCUUCCUCCUCCUCUUGCUGGGUCCGGCUCCUCCUGGUGCUGCUGCUGCUGCAUUCGUUGGUCCAACUCCAACGUGGUGGUGGGCUUGUGCGUGUCCAAUGGCAAUGCCACCGGCCUGUUCCUUGCCGGCAGAUCCGUGGGGGACGGCGACGGCCAUGGCCUGGCAUGGAUUCGGGCGAGCGGCGGCGGUGGCAGGAGCUUCGUUAGAGCGAUGCUGACCUGUGCUGCUGACCAGGGCAGCGUCGUCCUUGCCGGCGCGGCCGGUGGCGGGCACGGAGACGGAGGCGGAGGCUUCCCUGUGGAGGGCGAAGAAGGCGAGGAGGGCGCCGGCGUCGACGUUGCCCACCAGGGGCUCGUAGUCGUAGGGGGAUGCGGCGCAGCGGCGGAGCGCGGCGAGCAGGUCGGGCGCGGCGACGUCGGCCUGCUGGAGCCGGAGGAGCAGCGCCGGGCCCUCGCUCGCCGCCCCCUUUCUUGGAGGCGGGGUGUCGCCGCCGUGGAGGGCGCUGAGGAUGGUGGGGGUCUCGUAGUCGUCGAGGUACCUGCUCCUCUUGCGCGCGCGCUUGGCCCCCUUGUCCUCCACGGCGAGCGCGAGUGUUUGGGCCGCGGGUGGUGGGGCGUCGUCCAUGAGCAUGAGGGCGCCGGAGACGAAGGGGGGGAAGGGCGAUCUGUGGAUCCGGUGGCUCCGUGCUCCUCCUUACAACUUUUUUCUCCUUGGUCUUGGUCUUGGUGUCGGGUGGGUUCAACCAUCAAUGUCUUCUUUACUCCUUUCCACACCACAUUGAUAUUGUUUGGUUGUCUGCAUUGUAACGGAGGGUACAAAAUUAGUACAAAGUUGGGUUAUCUAUUUUUGGAACGGAGGGAGUAA